rnacentral:tRNA from 1 species
GCCUGGGUGGCUUAGUGAGUUAAGCAUCCAACUUCAGCUCAGAUAUUGAUCUCACUGUUUGUGAGUUCAAGCCUCACAUCAGGCU